rnacentral:ncRNA from 1 species
AAAUUGAAGAGUUUGAUCAUGGCUCAGAUUGAACGCUGGCGGCAGGCCUAACACAUGCAAGUCGAGCGGAAACGGCAGUAUUGAAGCUUCGGUGGAUUUACUGGACGUCGAGCGGCGGACGGGUGAGUAACGGCUGGGAACCUGCCCUGACGAGGGGGAUAACCGUUGGAAACGACGGCUAAUACCGCAUAAUGUCUACGGACCAAAGGUGGCCUCUACAUGUAAGCUAUCGCGUUGGGAUGGGCCCAGUUAGGAUUAGCUAGUUGGUAAGGUAAUGGCUUACCAAGGCGACGAUCCUU